UACGGGGGGAGCAAGCGUUGUCCGGAAUCAUUGGGCGUAAAGCGCGCGUAGGCGGCCCGGUAAGUCCGCUGUGAAAGUCAAAGGCUCAACCUUUGAAUGUCAGCGGAUACUGCCGGGCUAGAGUCCGGAAGAGGCGAGUGGAACUCCUGGUGUAGCGGUGGAAUGCGCAGAUAUCAGGAAGAACACCAACGGCGAAGGCAGCUCGCUGGGACGGUACUGACGCUAAGGCGCGAAAGCGUGGGGAGCGAACAGG
rnacentral:rRNA from 1 species